ACGCUGGCGGGAUGCUUUACACAUGCAAGUCGAACGGCAGCACGGACUUCGGUCUGGUGGCGAGUGGCGAACGGGUGGUAAUGUAUCGGAACGUGCCUAGUAGCGGGGGAUAACUACGCGAAAGCGUAGCUAAUACCGCAUACGCCCUUCGGGGGAAAGCGGGGGACCUUCGGGCCUCGCACUAUUAGAGCAGCCGAUAUCGGAUUAGCUAGUUGGUGGGGUAACGGCUCCGCAAGGCGACGAUCCGUAGCUGGUUUGAGAGGACGACCAGCCACACUGGGACUGGGGGUUACGGCCAGACUCCUACGGGAGGCAGCAGUGGGGGAAUUUUGGACAAUGGAAACCCUGACCCAGCCAUCCCGCGUGUGCGAUGAAGGCCUUCGGGUUGUAAAGCACUUUUGGCAGGAAAGAAACGGCACGGGAUAAUACCCCGUGCAACUGAGCGUACCUGCAGAAUAAGCACCGGCUAACUACGUGCCAGCAGCCGCGGUAAUACGUAGGGUGCAAGCGUUAAUCGGAAUUACUGGGCGUAAAGCGUGCACAGGCGGUUCGGAAAGGAAAGAUGUGAAAUCCCAGAGCUCUUGCUGGAACUGCAUUUUUUUUAACUACCGAGCUAGAGUGUGUCAGAGGGAGGUGGAAUUCCGCGAUGUAGCAGUGAAAUGCGUAGAUAUGCGGAGGAACACCGAUGGCGAAGGCAGCCUCCUGGGAUAUAACUGACGCUCAUGCACGAAAAGCGUGGGGAGCAAACAGGAUUAGAUACCCUGGUAGUCCGCCUAAACGAUGUCAACUAGCUGUUGGGGCCUUCGGGCCUUGGUAGCGCAGCUAACGCGUAGGAUUGACCGCCUGGGGAAGUACGGUCGCAAGAUUAAAACUCAAAGGAAUUGACGGGGACCCGCACAAGCGGUGGAUGAUGUGGAUUAAUUCGAUGCAACGCGAAAAACCUUACCUACCCUUGACAUGUCUGGAAUCCCGAAGAGAUUUAGGGUGCUCGCAAGAGAACCGGAACACAGGUGCUGCAUGGCUGUCGUCAGCUCGUGUCGUGAGAUGUUGGGUUAAGUCCCGCAGCGAGCGCAACCCUUGUCAUUAGUUGCUGCGAAAGGGCACUCUAAUGAGACUGCCGGUGACAAACCGGAGGAAGGUGGGGAUGACGUCAAGUCCUCAUGGCCCUUAUGGGUAGGGCUUCACACGUCAUACAAUGGUCGGGACAGAGGGUCGCCAACCCGCGAGAAGGGGAGCCAAUCCCAGAAACCCGAUCGUAGUCCGGAUCGCAGUCUGCAACUCGACUGCGUGAAGUCGGAAUCGCUAGUAAUCGCGGAUCAGCAUGUCGCGGUGAAUACGUUCCCGGGUCUUGUACACACCGCCCGUCACACCAUGGGAGUGGGUUUUACCAGAAGUAGUUAGCCUAACCGUAAGGAGGGCGAUUACCACGGUAGGAUUCAUGACUGGGGUGAAGUCGUAACAAAGGUAA
rnacentral:rRNA from 1 species